GUGAUGCGCAGCUACCAUGCAAGUCGAGCGGUAACAGAUCCAGCUUGCUGGAUGCUGACGAGCGGCGGACGGGUGAGUAAUGCAUAGGAAUCUGCCCGAUAGUGGGGGAUAACCUGGGGAAACCCAGGCUAAUACCGCAUACGUCCUACGGGAGAAAGGGGGCUUCGGCUCCCGCUAUCGGAUGAGCCUAUGUCGGAUUAGCUAGUUGGUGAGGUAACGGCUCACCAAGGCCACGAUCCGUAGCUGGUCUGAGAGGAUGAUCAGCCACAUCGGGACUGAGACACGGCCCGAACUCCUACGGGAGGCAGCAGUGGGGAAUAUUGGACAAUGGGGGGAACCCUGAUCCAGCCAUGCCGCGUGUGUGAAGAAGGCCCUCGGGUUGUAAAGCACUUUCAGCGAGGAAGAACGCCUAGCGGUUAAUACCCGCUAGGAAAGACAUCACUCGCAGAAGAAGCACCGGCUAACUCCGUGCCAGCAGCCGCGGUAAUACGGAGGGUGCAAGCGUUAAUCGGAAUUACUGGGCGUAAAGCGCGCGUAGGUGGCUUGAUAAGCCGGUUGUGAAAGCCCCGGGCUCAACCUGGGAACGGCAUCCGGAACUGUCAAGCUAGAGUGCAGGAGAGGAAGGUAGAAUUCCCGGUGUAGCGGUGAAAUGCGUAGAGAUCGGGAGGAAUACCAGUGGCGAAGGCGGCCUUCUGGACUGACACUGACACUGAGGUGCGAAAGCGUGGGUAGCAAACAGGAUUAGUCCCC
rnacentral:rRNA from 1 species